rnacentral:tRNA from 1 species
GCCCAGGUGGCGAAAUGGCAGACGCGCUAGCUUGAGGGGCUAGUGGGAGCAAUCCCGUGGAGGUUCAAGUCCUCUCCUGGGCACCA